AACGAGCGCAACCCUUGUCAUUAGUUGCUACAUUCAGUUGGGCACUCUAAUGAGACUGCCGGUGACCAAGCCGGAGGAAGGUGGGAUGACGUCAAGUCCUCAUGGCCCUUAUAGGUGGGGCUACACACGUCAUACAAUGGCUGGUACAAAGGGUUGCCAACCCGCGAGGGGGAGCCAAUCCCAUAAAGCCAGUCGUAGUCCGGAUCGUAGUCUGCAACUCGACUACGUGAAGUCGGAAUCGCUAGUAAUCGUGGAUCAGAAUGUCACGGUGAAUACGUUCCCGGGUCUU
rnacentral:rRNA from 1 species